rnacentral:lncRNA from 1 species
UAAAGGAUGAAUGGAGUGAUGACAGGAUGCAAGAAGUGCAUUUUAGCUUGGGGAUUUUGAGAGGGAAAGAACAUGGGAUUUGCAUCUGAAGACAUGGGUUCAAGCCCUGAAUCAUCUGUUUACUAGCUCUCUGUGUCACCAUUUUCUCAUUUAUCAAAAGAGAGAAUAAUAUUGAUCUUGCCUACUUUGAGGGAGUAAGCACAGCAGUGGAAUCAGAGAGGAAGUACCACAGCAUGGAAGAGGAGAAGGAAUAUUUGGAGGCAGAUAACCUUGAUGACAAGAAAAAGAAAGCAAGAGAAGGUGUUCUUGGAAAAUUUGAGAAGGGAGAGAUA